rnacentral:lncRNA from 1 species
AGUGAACUGACGAACGUUUCUCUCCGCACGUCUGGGAUGGAUGUAGUGCGCGCGUGUGCGCAUGCUCCGGUUAUGGGCGGAUGUGCGUAUGUGCAUGUGGGUGGGAUAAUGCCCCGCUCUGUAACGCUGGCCACGGGUUUUCUCUUUCCGCAGCGUUGUCUUCAGGUUUUCUCUAGGAACCCGCUGCAAAGGCUUUCAAAAACAUUACCCCACCAUAUAUAGGUGUGAUGUCCAUGAGAAUAGAAAAUACUAAACUUAUUAGAUCGGCCUUCAUAAUCCGAUUCUCAGCUCCCAGCGUUAGUCCCUCCUCGCAGUUCUGAUGACCACGCAGUGUACUUCUCCACACCCCUUUUGUAUUAGAAUUAGCAAAUUCUGGGUUUGGCGGUGGUCCCAGGCACUAUUCCGUACCCUGGUGAUGUGGACGUGUACCAGACUUUCUAGUGGGAGGAACAAAUGCAAACACACUAAUGCCAGGACAGCGCUAAGUGCUAUGAGGAGGGGAAAAAAGCCACGUUGGAAGAUUGGCAGUGGUCUGAGAAAACUGUUGGAGCCUUACCCUGUUCAGAACAACAGGGAGUCCUGGGGAGGAAGGACAGAUGUGUGCACAGGAAAGCGUGGAGGCUGUAGAGGAAGAGGCAGGGGCUGGGUGGACCUGGUUGGUAAGUGUGCUUUAAGAUACACAUAAAGGACUUGCUGAGAGUAAGGGAAGGAGGAAUCAAGAAUGUUUUUCUUUUUGGCCUGAGCACCUGAGUGCAUGGGUGGUAGUUCUCUUUUUUAACAAGAAUGGAAAAGAUGGGGUUGUCUCCCCUAAAAAGAUUUUGAGUUUCAAGUGCAGGAGCUAUAUUUUCUUUGCAGUCCUGGCUUCUACCAAGGACCCGUCCCUAGGAAUUGAGCAGAAACUCUUGAAAAAACAGUCUUAACUUAGGCCCACAUCUCUUAACACAUCACAUUUUUUUAAAAUAUGUUUUUUAGUUGUAGAUGGACACAAUAUCUUCAUUUUAUUUAUUUUUAUGUGGUGCUGAGGAUGGAUCCCAGUGGCUCACACGUGCUAGGCAAGCACUCUACCACUGAACUACAACCGCAGCUCACAAGUCAUAUUCAGUCCCCUCUCUGACACAUAGCCAGCCUAUCUUUGUGAAACUCUUAAGGCCAGCUGCAUGUGACCUCCAGGUGCCUGUCCCCGGAGAUUCCUUGGACUCCUAGGUAGAUAUAGUUGAGAGGCAGCUAGUCAUGUUGUCCACCUACAGUCGAGGAGCUGACCAUUGGCAUCAGGAGGCUGCUUACAACAGUGGCUUAGCAGGACAGAGAGCAAUCCUCUCACAGCCUAUGGUUGGCAUGUGGCAGGAGCUUCCCAGGUGGCCAAUUUG